GCCCCGCGCGAGCGCCGCGGGCUCGGGACGCGAGCUGGGAGCUCCCGAGCCGGAGGGAAAAGGCGGGUCUCCGGCUUGUUUUGAUUCGGCUUCGCUGACACGCUCUGGCCCCGCCCCCGCCCGUGACGACACUGGGGAUUCGGCCUGGCCGCGCCCACCAGGUGACCUCACGGCGGAGCGGAGCGGACCGGCCGCGUGACGUCCCGCGCGAGCGCCGCGGGCUCGGGACGCGAGCUGGGAGCUCCCGAGCCGGAGGGAAAAGGCGGGUCUCCGGCUUGUUUUGAUUCGGCUUCGCUGACACGCUCUGGCCCCGCCCCCGCCCGUGACGACACUGGGGAUUCGGCCUGGCCGCGCCCACCAGGUGACCUCACGGCGGAGCGGAGCGGACCGGCCGCGUGACGUCACGCCCGCGCUGAGCCGGCCGCUUUCGAGUGACGUCAUCCUGACGCCCUCACGGGGGUCUGCGCAGCUCCUGGGCCUCUGCGAAGCGGCUUCGUCAAGUGGCGCCUGAGCCAACCCGGUGGCAUCCCGAGUAGUUACUGGGUGACCUCCUGACCUUCGUGUAAUCGAGGCUUAGAACAAUAUGAUCCGGAAAAACAGGCGGCUGACUGGAACAGAAGUGAGAACAAAGGAUUUCGGACUCAUAAUCCAUCAAAACACUUUGCCCUUCAAGAACAAUCUUGGGCUCAGUGAGUACAGAAAUAAGACAGUUCCCAGACUAGGGGAAUGAACAGGGUCAUGAAUGCGAAGCCGGCACAGCACUGGGGUGAAAGGACCCACCAGCCAGGGCUAAAGCUGAACGUUGCCUGUGACCAAGAAGCAGGCCUUGCCUGGUGGGGGAGGGGGGGGGGACAGGGGACCCACAGCCGCCGCGGGUAAGGCUGGAGCGUCCUGAAGGAGAGAUGGCUGCGUUGCGAUGACACCUGUGAAGACAGGUGGUGGCGCGAGGGCAGGAGACAGCCCCUGGGCAGGGUUUCCCAUGGGCUCCCGUUACUGCAGCUUUAUUCUGCCUUUUCACAGACCAGCUUCUUCCCAAACCUCAGGUCCCAGAUCAAACACACCCCUCCUUCAGAAUGUUGUGGCAGAAACACCUUCCCGGAGGAGCUAUCACAGCCCAGUAAACUUGAUCUUGAAAUUGUCACGUAUCAUCAGAGGCCUUGAAAGACAUCUGCAUGGCUCCAGGCUUGUGCGGAACUUCAGGCUUCAGAAACAACACCCUGACAGGCUACCACUUCUUCCUGGUUCUAAGGUUAAAAGCAAAUGCUUGCCCUAAAUACUCUAGCUAGGAACUUAAUUUUUCAAGAAAACUACAUGGGAAAUAACUCUUGAGUAUUACUUGUCUGGGAAACCUAAACAAUAAGUGGAACUUAUUGACAAUGCGGAAGCUGCUCUAGUGAAGAUCUAUGAAUCCUCUGGUUUGCUGACUUCUAGGGGUAAGCAGGGCUCAAGUGGGAAAUAGGAGUUCCAUAGCAAGAGCUUAAAAGGCUAUGAUUCAUGUCAGUAAGUUAGGGAACAUCUCAGGGGAACCUAUAUAAAAAAAUCAGCUAUGAUGGCUAUGAUGCAGGCAGGCUGGGUCCAAGGACCCACAUGGGGUCCUACAGGACCAGCCAAAAAGGCCCUUGGCUUCACACAAGACGGAAAUCAAAUGCAAGCCAGCAGGAUGUGAGAGCACAGUUUAUUGAAGAUACAGAGAACACUUACAGAUGGAGCAUUUGGGAGACUCAGAAAAGAAAGGAGCAAGAUUCUCAUCUUUGGGUCUAGGAUUUUUAUUGAGGAUGGUGAUCUGGUGUACGUAUCCCCUUAUGUAUCCAGGAACCAGUUAGAACAAAGAUGAGGGCUCAAGUGUCAUUCUUUGGAGCCAGGGGGCCUUGACAUAGAGUUGUCUUGCACUGGUGUCUGGAAUGCACAUGUGGUGGUUUCUCUGGUCAUUCUCACCUGGUUCUUCCUUAAAUGUUAUCUAUUCUGAAAAAAAAAAAUCACUAAGUCUUUGUCCCUUACAAGGACGACAUACUUUAUUUGCACUAUGAGGCAAGUAUAAAGUGGGGUGGGGUGCAGGUCCUAGCAAGAAUAGAAGCAGAAAAAGGAGAAAAAGCGUAUUUUUAUGGUGUCUCAGUACAUCUUUUAAGCCUUGAAGUUCUCAACAUUUUAAACUCUAUCUACUCUUAAUAAACCUAAAAAGCUCAUAUACUCUGUAAUGAGU
ensembl:lncRNA